rnacentral:rRNA from 2 species
UGGGGAAUAUUGCACAAUGGGCGAAAGCCUGAUGCAGCAACGCCGCGUGAACGAUGAAGGUCUUCGGAUCGUAAAGUUCUGUUGCAGGGGAAGAUAAUGACGGUACCCUGUGAGGAAGCCCCGGCUAACUACGUGCCAGCAGCCGCGGUAAUACGUAGGGGGCUAGCGUUAUCCGGAUUUACUGGGCGUAAAGGGUGCGUAGGUGGUCCUUCAAGUCGGUGGUUAAAGGCUACGGCUCAACCGUAGUAAGCCGCCGAAACUGGAGGACUUGAGUGCAGGAGAGGAAAGUGGAAUUCCCAGUGUAGCGGUGAAAUGCGUAGAUAUUGGGAGGAACACCAGUAGCGAAGGCGGCUUUCUGGACUGCAACUGACACUGAGGCACGAAAGCGUGGGUAGCAAACA